UCUUGAAAUUGAGCGACAAAAGGCCCACUCCUACUUUAGCUGUAAAAAAUAAAGAAAUAUAAAGACAUACUAAAACUAUUAAAUUAAAACGCUGCACUCUCAAAAUAUGUUCUCUUUAUUAGAAGUCAUAAAACCCUAAAUCCCCAAAUCUCAUAAUCUUGCACAGAAAUAUGUCCCAUUUGUGGUAUAGAUUUGAAAACUCAUCAUUAGCAGCCCGAUCCAUGCCGGGUUUUUUCGGCAAUCGAAACCUUACUCGGCGCCUUCUCAUCGUUGGGUGCUCAUCAUCACAAGUUGAGCUUAAACUCUGGAGGGUUAACGAUUUGUUGCUCUGAAUCGAAAUACUAUUACUAAAAUUCAUCCUCUUGUCAAAUGUGGGGUCUCAGAGCUCCACAACCUUCGAGUAUUUUACUUCAUGCAACGGAACACACUCAACUUCUUGCGGCUCAAUACACAUAGCUCCUUGCGGUUUUCCCCUUAUAUUUCAGAUUGUGUUCCAGAGACAUCUUCCAGACCUCACCUCUAGUGUGAGGCCAGUUCCCGAUCAAAUCCAAGGGUGAGCUCCUAUCCAUGCCAUGCCGCCUGAAGAUCUCUCUUGUUGAUGUCUAUUUUCAUUCCAGACAUUGUUUGCGUUUAUAGAUGUCACGACCCAAACUAAAGGGCCACGACGGGCACCUGACCGUACUAGUCAAGUACCAUCUGACAUACAUCUGUGAUGACAACAUAAACAUAGGUGGGCCGAUUGGGCCAUCAUAUAACUCUCAACAAACUCAUAAGAAACAUGUAUGUAUCAACUGUUCUGAAAGACUCAUCUGUGAAAAUAUUGAACAUAUUGUUUGAGCCGGUAAGGCUAGCAUAACCAACUGGGAUGACCUAUGAAAUCUCAAGUCUGGACAUCAUCUGACUGUAUAUAACUGUCUACAUGCCUCUACUGGAUAACAUAACACAACGUGGCUGGGACAAGGCCCCGCCAUAGCCAUACGUAUGUGCGUACAUAUCUAUAUAUACGUAAGACCAUCCUGACUCCUGGCAUUUUCGGAACAAAUGGAGUGCACCAACUUCAUCCGCUGAGCUGACAUCCUAAUAGAUGGAUCACCAACUUCUGUCUGCAGACCUGCGGGCAUGAAACGCAAACCCCCAAGCAAUAGGGGAGUCAAUAUGAAUAUUGUACUGAGUAUGUAAGACAUGAAAAUAGCAUAUACACAAGAAUCAUAAAAAGAAUCUAUGACAUGAGAGUCAAUCUAUAAAUCUGAAUGUAUCUGUAUAACUGUAUAUCUGAAGUGGCUGUAUAACUCUAUAUAACUGAAAGUGCCUCUGAGGGCGUAUAAUAUGCAUG